rnacentral:rRNA from 1 species
UACGUAGGGGGCAAGCGUUGUUCGGAAUUACUGGGCGUAAAGGGCUCGUAGGCGGCCAACUAAGUCAUACGUGAAAUCCCUCAGCUUAACUGGGGAACUGCGUGUGAUACUGGAUGGCUUGGAUUUGGGAGAGGGAUGCGGAAUUCCAGGUGUAGCGGUGAAAUGCGUAGAUAUCGGGAGGAACACCAGUGGCGAAGGCGGCUUCCUGGCCUGUUCUUGACGCUGAGGCGCGAAAGCUAGGGGAGCAAACGGG